ACCAGCACCAGUAUGUAUU
rnacentral:miRNA from 1 species